rnacentral:lncRNA from 1 species
GAGUUUUAGUCCAGCGGCACCAUUCCGUACAAGAGCAGUUAUAUUUUAGGAAACUGGGACAAGAGGUCAAGGCUGGGAGUGCUUCGGGACUGGCUGGAUCAUGGUUUUUGGAGACAGGCCUGGAAAUGGAGUGUGGCACUAGAAGAGAAGAACUUCGUUUCCAGGUCAGCAUCACAAGACGCAUGAAAGAGGACUCAUCGCCAGGGCAUGGAGCUGGUGUUUUGAUCAAAAUGGAAUUUGCUCUCAAAUAGACAUGUAUUCACUAAUCUCCUUUCUUUUAAAUAAGUAAAUAAAACAAACACAAAAUCUCUUCCAGCUCAGCUGACUAAGUCCUAGUGGGGAUGACAGCAACAUUCACUUGCAAGAUCCCACAGAGCUAGUGUCCAAAAUGAAAAUAAAUGUGACUUUUCAUAUCAAGGCAGAGUGUUGCUUUGUUUGCAAUUCAGUUAAAGAACAGGCAUUACAAUGCUAUUGUGCUACGAGAUGCACAUCUUUGGGGCUCUAACACGGCGAAAUCUGUGCUUGACAGAUGGGCACCAGUAUCUUAAGAGAGCCAGAAGGGCACAGUUCUUGGUUUCCAAGGAGCUAGGUUUGGGUGAGGUGGAAGUGGGGGAGCAAAGAAAA